GACGAACGCUGGCGGCGUGCUUAACACAUGCAAGUCGAACGGAAAGGCCCUGCUUUUGUGGGGUGCUCGAGUGGCGAACGGGUGAGUAACACGUGAGUAACCUGCCCUUGACUUUGGGAUAACUUCAGGAAACUGGGGCUAAUACCGGAUAGGAGCUCCUGCUGCAUGGUGGGGGUUGGAAAGUUUCGGCGGUUGGGGAUGGACUCGCGGCUUAUCAGCUUGUUGGUGGGGUAGUGGCUUACCAAGGCUUUGACGGGUAGCCGGCCUGAGAGGGUGACCGGCCACAUUGGGACUGAGAUACGGCCCAGACUCCUACGGGAGGCAGCAGUGGGGAAUAUUGCACAAUGGGCGGAAGCCUGAUGCAGCAACGCCGCGUGCGGGAUGACGGCCUUCGGGUUGUAAACCGCUUUCGCCUGUGACGAAGCGUGAGUGACGGUAAUGGGUAAAGAAGCACCGGCUAACUACGUGCCAGCAGCCGCGGUGAUACGUAGGGUGCGAGCGUUGUCCGGAUUUAUUGGGCGUAAAGGGCUCGUAGGUGGUUGAUUGCGUCGGAAGUGUAAUCUUGGGGCUUAACCCUGAGCGUGCUUUCGAUACGGGUUGACUUGAGGAAGGUAGGGGAGAAUGGAAUUCCUGGUGGAGCGGUGGAAUGCGCAGAUAUCAGGAGGAACACCAGUGGCGAAGGCGGUUCUCUGGGCCUUUCCUGACGCUGAGGAGCGAAAGCGUGGGGAGCGAACAGGCUUAGAUACCCUGGUAGUCCACGCUGUAAACGGUGGGUACUAGGUGUGGGGUCCAUUCCACGGGUUCCGUGCCGUAGCUAACGCUUUAAGUACCCCGCCUGGGGAGUACGGCCGCAAGGCUAAAACUCAAAGGAAUUGACGGGGCCCCGCACAAGCGGCGGAGCAUGCGGAUUAAUUCGAUGCAACGCGUAGAACCUUACCUGGGUUUGACAUGGAUCGGGAGUGCUCAGAGAUGGGUGUGCCUCUUUUGGGGUCGGUUCACAGGUGGUGCAUGGCUGUCGUCAGCUCGUGUCGUGAGAUGUUGGGUUAAGUCCCGCAACGAGCGCAACCCUUGUUCACUGUUGCCAGCACGUUAUGGUGGGGACUCAGUGGAGACCGCCGGGGUCAACUCGGAGGAAGGUGGGGAUGACGUCAAGUCAUCAUGCCCCUUAUGUCCAGGGCUUCACGCAUGCUACAAUGGCUGGUACAGAGAGUGGCGAGCCUGUGAGGGUGAGCGAAUCUCGGAAAGCCGGUCUCAGUUCGGAUUGGGGUCUGCAACUCGACCUCAUGAAGUCGGAGUCGCUAGUAAUCGCAGAUCAGCAACGCUGCGGUGAAUACGUUCCCGGG
rnacentral:rRNA from 1 species